AGUGUCAUCAAUGGGAUCAAUGGGAUCAAUGGAUCAGUGGGAUCAAUGGGAUCACUGGGAUCAGUGGGAUCAAUGGGAUCAAUGGGAUCAGUGGGAUCAAUAGGAUCAAUGGGAUCAAUGGGAUCAAUGGGAUCAGUGGGAUCAAUGGGAUCAGUGGGAUCAAUGGGAUCAGUGGGGUACAGCGUCAUCAAUGGGAUCAAUGGGAUCAAUGGGGUACAUGGGAUCAAUGGGAUCAAUGGGAUCAAUGGGAUCAAUGGGAUCAAUGGGGAUCAAUGGGAUCAAUGGGAUCAAUGGGAUCAGUGGGGCA